rnacentral:rRNA from 1 species
AAAAAGCUCGUAGUUGAAUUUCUGCUACAUUGCCUAUUCUCCUUUACGAGUUUGGGUCUUUUGUGGCUUAUCUGGGUUCGCUUGCGUUCCCGGUGUUUUACUUUGAGAAAAUUAGAGUGCUCAAAGCAGGCUUUUGCCUUGAAUAGUUUAGCAUGGAAUAAUAAAGUAGGACUUUGGUUCUAUUUUGUUGGUUUUAGGUACCAAAGUAAUGGUUAAUAGGAACAGUUGGGGGCAUUCGUAUUUAACUGUCAGAGGUGAAAUUCUUAGAUUUGUUAAAGACAAACUACUGCGAAAGA